GACGAACCGUGCGAACGUUGUUCGGAAUCACUGGGCUUAAAGGGGGCGUAGGCGGGCCGGCAAGUCAGGGGUGAAAUCUUCCAGCUCAACUGGAAAAGGGCCUUUGAUACUGUCGGCCUCGAGGGAGGUAGGGGCAUGCGGAACUUCCGGUGGAGCGGUGAAAUGCGUAGAUAUCGGAAGGAACGCCGGUGGCGAAAGCGGCGUGCUGGACCUCUUCUGACGCUGAGGCGCGAAAGCUAGGGGAGCAAACGGG
rnacentral:rRNA from 1 species